rnacentral:rRNA from 1 species
AACGAGCGCUGGCGGCAGGCUUAACACAUGCAAGUCGAGCGCCCCGCAAGGGGAGCGGCAGACGGGAGAGUAACGCGUGGGAAUCUACCCAUCUCUACGGAAUAACGCAUGGAAACGUGUGCUAAUACCGUAUACGUCCUUCGGGAGAAAGAUUUAUCGGAGAUGGAUGAGCCCGCGUUGGAUUAGCUAGUUGGUGGGGUAAAGGCCUACCAAGGCGACGAUCCAUAGCUGGUCUGAGAGGAUGAUCAGCCACACUGGGACUGAGACACGGCCCAGACUCCUACGGGAGGCAGCAGUGGGGAAUAUUGGACAAUGGGCGCAAGCCUGAUCCAGCCAUGCCGCGUGAGUGAUGAAGGCCCUAGGGUUGUAAAGCUCUUUCACCGGUGAAGAUAAUGACGGUAACCGGAGAAGAAGCCCCGGCUAACUUCGUGCCAGCCGCCGCGGUAAGAC